rnacentral:rRNA from 1 species
AUUGAACGCUGGCGGCAGGCCUAACACAUGCAAGUCGAGCGAGUGGCGGGCGGGGGAGUAAUGUCUGGGAAAAUGCCCGAUGGAGGGGGAUAUCUCAGGGAAACGGUAGCGAAUACCGCAUACCCUCGGAUGUGCCCAGAUGGGGUUAUCUAGUAGGGGGGGUAAAGGCUCCCCUAGGCGACGAUCCCUAGCUGGUCUGAGAGGAUGACCAGCCACACUGGAACUGAGACACGGUCCAGACUCCUACGGGAGGCAGCAGUGGGGAAUAUUGCACAAUGGGCGCAAGCCUGAUGCAGCCAUGCCGCGUGUAUGAAGAAGGCCUUCGGGUUGUAAAGUACUUUCAGCGGGGAGGCGUUACUCGCAGAAGAAGCACCGGCUAACUCCGUGCCAGCAGCCGCGGUAAUUC